rnacentral:tRNA from 3 species
GGGUAGAUGGCAGAGUGGUUGAUUGCUCCGGUCUUGAAAACCGGCGAAGGUGCAAGCCUUCCGGGGGUUCGAAUCCCUCUCUACCCGCCA